ACUUUUCCGCAAUGGGCGCAAGCCUGACGGAUCAAUACCGCGUGAGGCAAGAAUGCGUGUGGGGUGUGAACCUCUUUUGAAGGGAAUAAUUUUGACGGUUACUAUCGAAUAAGCAUAGACUAAUUCCGUGCCAGCAGCCGCGGUAAUACGGGGGAUGCAAACGUUAUCCGGAUUCAUUGGGUGUAAAGCGUCAGUAGGCGGAUUAGUAAGUCUGAAAUUAAAUAUUAGAAUAAACUCUAAAUCAGCAGUAUAACGAUUAAACUUGAGUAAGUAUGGGCAAAAGAAUUCCCAGUGUAGCGGUGAAAGGAGUAUUAUUUGAAAGAACACCAGUAGUAAAGCGCUUUGGCUGGCCUUAUCUUCUCUCAGAGACGAAAGCUAAGGUAGCGAAGGGGAUUAGAUCCCCCAGUAGUCCUAGCUGCA
rnacentral:rRNA from 1 species